rnacentral:rRNA from 1 species
AUUGAACGCUAGCGGGAUGCCCUACACAUGCAAGUCGAACGGCAGCGCGGACUUCGGUCUGGCGGCGAGUGGCGAACGGGUGAGUAAUGUAUCGGAACGUGCCCAGUAGCGGGGGACAACCACUCGAAAGAGUGGCUAAUACCGCAUACGCCCUACGGGGAAAGGGGGGGAGUCGCAAGACCUCUCACUAUUGGAGCGGCCGAUAUCGGAUUAGCUAGUUGGUGGGGUAAAGGCCUACCAAGGCGACGAUCCGUAGCUGGUUUGAGAGGACGACCAGCCACACUGGGACUGAGACACGGCCCAGACUCCUACGGGAGGCAGCAGUGGGGAAUUUGGACAAUGGGGGAAACCCUGAUCCAGCCAUUCCGCGUGUGCGAUGAAGGCCUUCGGGUUGUAAAGCACUUUUGGCAGGAAAGAAAUCGUGUGGGUUAAUACCCUGCGCGGAUGACGGUACCUGCAGAAUAAGCACCGGCUAACUACGUG